CCAAAUCCCAAAUUGUGUGCUAUUCCCUAAAUAGUGAAUGAGAUAAAUGAUGUAAAAUAUGGAUUUUACAUUAAUUUACCACUUAAGUUUCUCUGAUUUUGUCUCAGUUUCUCUAUUUAUAGGUUUAUGUUUGAGUAAUAUGAACAUUGUGGUUUUAUUCUAUAAACUACAGACAACAUUUCUCCCAAAUUCCAAUUAAAAAUAGUCAUUUAGAGCAUUUAUCUACAGAAAAUGAGAAAUGGCUGAAAUAUAUAAAACAAAAGAUGCAGAACUUUCAGACCUUAAAUAAUAGCAACGAAAUCAAGUUCAUAUUUAUAAAGUUUUAAGAGUUCAGAAAUCAAUAUUUGGUGGAAUAACCCUGGUGGUUUUUAAUCACAGUUUUCUUCAUGCAUCUUGGCAUCAUGUUCUCCUCCACCAGUCUUACACACUGCUUUUGGAUAAAAUUUCAAGCAGUUCAGUUUGGUUUGAUGGCUUGUGAUCAUCCAUCUUCCUCUUGAUUCUAUUCCAGAGGUUUUCAAUUUGGUAAAAUCAAAGAAACUCAUCAUUUUUUAAGUGGUUUCUUUUUUUUCCAUAAAUAAAUAUAUAUUACCUAACCUUGCUUCUACAGCUGACCAAUCAGAGCCAACCAAGGGGGCGUGGCUUGUUUCUCACUCUCCCACAUCUCCCAGACUGUGGGGAAAGUUGGAGAGAGAAGGUCCAUUAUGAUUUAAAGGAGUGUAAGAACUUUACAGAUAGUGUUCUUCUCUCUCACAGCCAUCAGUGAGCAUGUAUUACAGACCUUAUUAUCUACACGAUGUUCUACUGCUGCUCACCUGCUGCGUUACAGGCUGUGCUUCUGCUCUGGUGGUCUUGCCGAAUGGACCUACCCUGGUCAACGCUUUUCUCGGCACCAACGUGACCCUGGGUGUGACCGUCACCGGAGCCAGCUCUCCACUGGUUUCCUGGAAGAUAGGAAAACUUACAGUGGCUUCCCUGAUGUUAGACUCCGGCAUCGCUCCGGAUAUCGCAUCUGACAGCAGGGGGGUGCUCUCGGUCGAUCAGAGGGGGUCUCUGGUGUUCUGGAACGUUCCUCUCAGCUACAGCGGCGUCUACACGGUGACGGCAUCAAAAGCCGGGGCCAACGAUGCCUCCGCCAACUUCACACUCCUGGUGUACGGUGAGUAGAAUUCAGAUUCACUGGUGUUUAUGCCAACUAAGAAAUAUAUAUAGCAAAUAUAG
rnacentral:lncRNA from 1 species